rnacentral:rRNA from 1 species
GUUGAACGCUGGCGGCGUGCCUAAUACAUGCAAGUCGAGCGAAUGGAUUAAGAGCUUGCUCUUAUGAAGUUAGCGGCGGACGGGUGAGUAACACGUGGGUAACCUGCCCAUAAGACUGGGAUAACUCCGGGAAACCGGGGCUAAUACCGGAUAACAUUUUGAACCGCAUGGUUCGGAAUUGAAAGGCGGCUUCGGCUGUCACUUAAGGAUGGACCCGGGUCGCAUUAGCUAGUUGGUGAGGUAACGGCUCACCGAGGCAACGAUGCGUAGCCGACCUGAGAGGGUGAUCGGCCACACUGGGACUGAGACACGGCCCAGACUCCUACGGGAGGCAGCAGUAGGGAAUCUUCCGCAAUGGACGAAAGUCUGACGGAGCAACGCCGCGUGAGUGAUGAAGGCUUUCGGGUCGUAAAACUCUGUUGUUAGGGAAGAACAAGUGCUAGUUGAAUAAGCUGGCACCUUGACGGUACCUAACCAGAAAGCCACGGCUAACUACGUGCCAGCCGCCGCGGUAA